rnacentral:rRNA from 1 species
GGGCCCGCACAAGCGGCGGAGCAUGCGGAUUAAUUCGAUGCAACGCGAAGAACCUUACCAAGGCUUGACAUGGACCGGAUCGCCGCAGAAAUGUGGUUUCUCCUUUGGGGCCGGUUCACAGGUGGUGCAUGGUUGUCGUCAGCUCGUGUCGUGAGAUGUUGGGUUAAGUCCCGCAACGAGCGCAACCCUCGUUCCAUGUUGCCAGCACGUAGUGGUGGGGACUCAUGGGAGACUGCCGGGGUCAACUCGGAGGAAGGUGGGGACGACGUCAAAUCAUCAUGCCCCUUAUGUCUUGGGCCUCACGCAUGCUACAAUGGCCGGUACAAAGGGUUGCGAUACUGUGAGGUGGAGCUAAUCCCAAAAAGCCGGUCUCAGUUCGGAUUGGGGUCUGCAACUCGACCCCAUGAAGUCGGAGUCGCUAGUAAUCGCAGA